rnacentral:rRNA from 1 species
GACGAACGCUGGCGGCGUGCUUAACACAUGCAAGUCGAACGGAAAGGCCCCUUCGGGGGUACUCGAGUGGCGAACGGGUGAGUAACACGUGAGUAACCUGCCCUUGACUUCGGGAUAACUUCAGGAAACUGGGGCUAAUACCGGAUAGGAAUCCUUGCUGCAUGGUGGGGGUUGGAAAGCUUCGGCGGUUUUGGAUGGACUCGCGGCUUAUCAGCUUGUUGGUGGGGUAGUGGCUUACCAAGGCUUUGACGGGUAGCCGGCCUGAGAGGGCGACCGGCCACAUUGGGACUGAGAUGCGGCCCAGACUCCUACGGGAGGCAGCAGUGGGGAAUAUUGCACAAUGGGCGGAAGCCUGAUGCAGCAACGCCGCGUGCGGGAUGACGGCCUUCGGGUUGUAAACCGCUUUCAGCAGGGGCGAAGCUUGUGGUGACGGUACCUGCAGAAGAAGCACCGGCUAACUACGUG